rnacentral:rRNA from 1 species
GCCCCGCGCCCGUCCCGCCGCCCCCGCCCGCCUACGGGAGGCAGCAGUGGGGAAUUUUCCGCAAUGGGCGAAAGCCUGACGGAGCAAUACCGCGUGAGGGAGGAAGGCUCUUGGGUCGUAAACCUCUUUUGUCAGGGAAGAAGAAAGUGACGGUACCUGAAGAAUCAGCAUCGGCUAACUCCGUGCCAGCAGCCGCGGUAAUACGGAGGAUGCAAGCGUUAUCCGGAAUUAUUGGGCGUAAAGCGUCCGCAGGUGGCUUUUCAAGUCUGCUGUCAAAGACUGGGGCUUAACUCCGGACCGGCAGUGGAAACUGAGAGGCUAGAGUGCAGGAGGGGUAGAGGGAAUUCCCGGUGUAGCGGUGAAAUGCGUAGAUAUCGGGAAGAACAUCGGUGGCGAAGGCGCUCUACUGGACUGCAAC